rnacentral:rRNA from 1 species
CCUACGGGUGGCAGCAGUGGGGAAUAUUGGACAAUGGGCGAAAGCCUGAUCCAGCCAUGCCGCGUGUGUGAAGAAGGCCUUCGGGUUGUAAAGCACUUUCAGUGGGGAAGAAAGCCUUGGGGCUAAUACCCUCGAGGAAGGACAUCACCCACAGAAGAAGCACCGGCUAACUCCGUGCCAGCAGCCGCGGUAAUACGGAGGGUGCGAGCGUUAAUCGGAAUUACUGGGCGUAAAGCGCGCGUAGGCGGUCUGAUAAGCCGGUUGUGAAAGCCCCGGGCUCAACCUGGGAACGGCAUCCGGAACUGUCAGGCUAGAGUGCAGGAGAGGAAGGUAGAAUUCCCGGUGUAGCGGUGAAAUGCGUAGAGAUCGGGAGGAAUACCAGUGGCGAAGGCGGCCUUCUGGACUGACACUGACGCUGAGGUGCGAAAGCGUGGGUAGCAAACAGGAUUACAUACCCUGGUAGUC